AACAUAUCACGUUUAUUAAUUAAUUGUCAAAAAGAAAGAUCCGGGUUUAAAUAAUAUAAAUUCUGGAAAGAUCUGUUAGUCAAACACUUCUGACGGAGACCACAGCAGUAAUAUCUGACUGAGACCACGGCAGUAAUAUCUGACUGAGAUUACCGCAGUACCACUAAUUGUCAUUAGAGUCAAAAUGGUAAGCAAGAGAGUGUUGAGUGUUUCCAUGGUGAUUCUGUUACUAACAGUUUUAACCAUGACCCCAUCAACCGAAGCUGCUAAUUGUUUUACUACAUGGAGUAGGUGUAGUGGAUGGAGUUCCGGGGGUACAGGCAUAUUCUGGCGUAGUUGUAAUGACUAUUGUAUAAACGUCAAAGGUAGAAGUGGAGGGAGAUGUGUGUUACGAAAUGCUCCCGAGUGCCCAUUCGUUGCUCGAUCUUACCAAUGUCAGUGUUAUUAAAAAUAACAUAAACGGAAUGAAUUAAAAGAUUCCAAAAUCAA